rnacentral:lncRNA from 10 species
AAAACUCAAAAAUUAGUUGGAUGUGUUGGCAGGUGCCUGUAAUCCCAGCUAGCACCUAGGACCAGCGGAGGUUAAAGCUUAUCUACAACAGCUUGCAGCAAGCUUGCUUUGGUAAACAGUCUGGGGCCAGGAGGUACCCACAGUCCUAGUUACGCCAAAUUCAGGCCGAAGGGCGACCUGUCUCCGUGCUCCUGACAAACUUCCAGCCCCCGUUUCCCAUCAGAGCCUCGUCCAGGUGUUCCCAUUUAAAGGCUCCACCUGCGCAGGGCGGGUGCCACACAAUGAGGAGAGUUUUGCAAACAAACGCGGCCGUUGCUCCAAGGUCUCGGGUAACCGAUUGGCAAAACCUAGGUCUUCCCACUUAGGGAAGAUGGCCCAAGAGCAAGAAGGCGAAACAAGAGGCCGCCGGACCCGCGAAGCCCCGAGCUCAGAGGUCGCCCAGUGCUCGGCCCCGCCUCUGACGUCACGGCUCGGUGGGACUCCCGGAGCCCGGAUGCGCGCUGGGACUCGGUGCAGUCCAGCUCCACGGUCGCGCGUCCCACAGCUCCCUUCACGUCCGUUCCUCCGUUUCCCCACCUUGGGAGGGCCAGGACUUCCGAGGCUUUAGGGGGCAGGAAGCUGCGAGAAGGUGGCGCUUGCUUAGGUGAGGCGCGGAGGAUGGUAUUAGAGAGAGGAACGUGACUGGAAGCUCCCUGGCCAUGGACGAUCGCUGGGUUCUAGGCGCCUGCUCGCCCCAGCGGUUGACGGUCACGUGAUACCCCCCAGUGUACCUUUCCUGCAGCGUGUUACGUGGCGCACAGAGAACGUCGCUUCCAGAGGACCGUUUUUUCGUAACUGGCAGUAGUAAUCUGGCGGUUGACACUCUCGUUGCCUGUAUAGGCUGAUGGCCCACUCACCUUUUUAGCUGGGCUCCUGACCUGUCCGGCCAGAAAGUUGCCACUGGGGUAAGGUGGAUGGCGUGGGGGAAUAGGGAAGGGCCUCAGCACAGUUUCUGAACACUUCUUCCACACCGGAUUCCGGAGGCCGCAGAUAGGGAAAGCAAGGGCCAGUAGGGCAGUUUUCUCUUGUGUUCCCUAUUC